GACGAACGUUGGCGGCGUGCUUAAUACAUGCCAGUCAACUGAAGCAGUGGUAGCAAUAUCGCUGUGGAGGUGGCGCACGGGUGAGUAACACGUAGGUAAUCUGCCUUCAGGUCUGGCAUAACUCCGGGAAACCGGGGCUAAUAGCAGAUGAUGCAGCGGCUCGACAUCGAGACAGUUGUUAAAGCUAUGGCGCCUGAAGAUGAGCCUGCGUCUGAUUAGCUAGUUGGCGGGGUAACGGCCCACCAAGGCAACGAUCAGUAGCCGGUCUGAGAGGAUGAUCAGCCACACUGGAACUGAGACACGGUCCAGACUCCUACGGGAGGCAGCAGUAAGGAAUAUUGCUCAAUGGGAGAAAUCCUGAAGCAGCAACGCCGCGUGAGGGACGAAGGGCUUUUGCUUGUAAACCUCUGUAGUGAGAGAAAAAAAUCCCAAUCUUUGGGACAUGAUGGUAUCUCAAAAGUAAGCCCCGGCUAACUACGUG
rnacentral:rRNA from 1 species